UGUCGACAAACUCUUUUACGGUCUUUCACUUCCUCUUCUCCGAUCUCUGAGUAUAAGGGUUACUUUGAGCAUCUCCUUAUCAAUCAAUGAUCAACUUUAAUUUCUUCUUAAAAUUUUCGUUCCACCUCCCCUUGAUCCUCCACCUAUAGAAAGCGUUGUAUCUAAACCUAAAUCCACUCAAAAAAAAAAAAAAACUACUGUGAAACCACAUCCAUGUCCAUGAAAUCCACCGGAGAAUCUCAGAUCUCCACUGACAAGUCUCAAGUCGCUGUCUAUUUUAACGACAUCUCACAGAACCAGCUCAGUCAGAGCUUCGAUUUUGCUCCCUUUAUAUAGAGCUUGCAGUUCGUCGACAUGUUACUCAUCGGGUCUAUGGUUUCGAUCCAGUCUCAUCAAUCUGAGAUUUAUUGUUAACCAAGAAGAAUAGCGCUGCUUGGAAGUUCGUUGUGGAUUUGCGCUCUCUCUCUCUCUCUCUCUCUUUUCAUCUCGAUUAUGUUACUCUGUUUUGAUAUUUGUUUGAUCCAGUGUUAUUAGGUGUUAUUUUUAAUUCUUCAUCUUACUUUCAGUAACCGGUAAGGCAAGAUGAAGCAGAUAAACAAUUUAUUUAUCAAUUAGAGGAAGAGGAAUCGGCAGAGUAAUCCAUCUUCUUCCACUGUCUUGAAAAUCAAAUGCAAAAGUGAGUUCUAUCUCCUUUGGAUUGAGUAGGGUUUUUGGUUGACACAUGUUGACAAAUUCAGGGACUGCAAUACCACGCUUGAAAUAAAGGAUCAACAGCCAAGGAACCAAAUUUUACAAAAGAAAGUUCUUGGCGUGGAAGAUUUCAUGUGCAUGUUAAACGAACCGUACGACCUGUCUAUGCUACGGUUUUGCAGCAUAAGAAACCAACCUCAAGUGCUGCAGAUGAUAUAACAGGUGGAUCAAGAUUGACUUCUCAGACUGUUCUGAGGCAAGAAGUACCAACUGCAACCUCCAAAAGUUACACCUUCAAAACAAGUAUGGUCAUUUAGUUUUCAUUCUUUUGUUUUGUCGCUUUUGUUUUACAUUAUAAAAACACUUAACCAACACAUGUGUCACUCGGUUUAUCAAAAAUUUGAUUUCUAAAGUAGGAGAAGCCAGUCCCAACAUGUUGAUUACAGAUUAUAUUUGGCACGUGAAAAGAAGUAAUGCUUCUUAACUUGAAAAUGAAAAAUAUUUAGUUGAGCAUCAUGAUUCAUGAAUAUGAAUUCAGCUCAUUGUUACAUUAGUCCAAGUUCAUGAAUAUGUAGCAGAUUCAAGGAAGGGAUACUUCUAUCGUUGGCCUUAACCGUGAAAGAAAGCAAACAUGAUUUUCCCCAAGUCAAAAAGUCACUGAAUAUGAGUUAAAAAUGGAAGAUUUUAUACUUACCAUUUUCAUAAACAAUACCAGAUAAAACAAAGCAGCGAGGUCCUCCGUUUAGUCAUAUACAAGAGGGACUUCUUUUGAUUUGCUCUCGAUUUAUUUUAGUAGAACAAUUAAUCUUCCUCUACCUCACCAACACAUGUGUACCUGAUAUGGUUUAAAAUAAUCUGACAACUACAAUAAUAGUAGAAAUCAAACUAGAUAAUCAAAAUAAAAUAAACAUAUCAAAAUAUUCACACACCCAAAAUAAAGACAGCCCAUAAGAAUUCAACAUUAUAUUAUGAAAUUUAGUUAACUGCAACGAAAUUAAGGUUGAAUAUCAUAAUAUGAAACAAUUUUAACAGUAAAAACUGAUGAAUAUAAUAACACAAAUCAAAGAAAUAACAAUUAGAAAUAAUAUAUAGUAAAAAAUUCAUAAUAAACAUAAUUGUUUUUAAAAUAACUAAUGUUUCAUAGUGUUUUGUAAUUUGAAAAAUUAUGUGUCUUAGACAUGUUAGUAAUUUCUAAAAUGAAUUUUAAAAUAUAUAGAUAAAAUUGUUGUAAAAUAAGUAUAUACUUCAAUGGUAUUUUUAGGUAAAAGUAAAUUUAGAAUUUAAAAUAAAUUUGUAUUAUUAGUUUAUUUAUUCGCCCCGCCCGUAGGGCGGGUUUAUCCUAGUCUCUAUAAUAUUAUCUGAAAAAUUAAUUUCAUAUAUGAUGUUCUCAUGUUAAUUUUUACAAUAGUUAUUACAAAAUAACUUUAACUUUAAUAUAUUAAAUUAAACACUAAAAUGCAAUUAUUAAUAUUUUAUUUAAAUUUAUUUUCUGUUAAUAAUUGUUUCCAAACUAAUUUACUAUCAAAAAUAAAUAUCUUUUAUAUAAAUAUAUAUAGCAUUUUAUAUUUAAAAUAUGGACUUUAGAAAAACAAAUACCCUAUAUAUAAAUAAAAGGAAUUUAAAACAAAAAUGCAAUAUUUUUAAUAUUAAAAAAAUUAUAUAUAAAAAUUUAUAUCAAAGCAUGUAAUUUAAUAAAAACGAAUUUAUUUAUAUAAAUAAAAAGGAAUAGAUUAUAAAAAUAAUAAUAUAUUUAUUAAAAAUAUAGCCAUUUUUAUAUUUAAAACAUACAACUUCUGAAGACGAAUUAUUUUAUAUAUAUCAAAAAGGAUAUAUACUUAAAAUAAAAAUAUAUAACAAUUUCUCUUAUAUUUUAACAUAUUGCUUAAUCAAAAAUAAUUUCCUUUCGAAUUUUAAAAUUCAUAAAAACAUAUCGUUUUUCCUAAAUCACGUUGCUUUAAUCAAUUUAUUAUAACAUUAAAAUUUCUAAUAUUUCAUUAAUAAAAUAAAUUUGUUAUUUAGAAAUUUGUUCACAUUUGUUAGAAACAUUUUGUUGUAGGAAAUUUUUGUUAUAAAAAUAUUUACAAUUUUCACGUUAAUAGAACAUCUUAAUUACUAUUUCUCGUGAACAACAUAAAUAGAUUCACUUAAUACUCUGCUAACCAAUUCAUUUAUCUUAAUUACUAUUUAUAAUCAAUUUUUAAUUUCCAAGUCAACAAAUUUUUUUUUAAUUACAAAUUCUCAAUCCUAAUAAUAUAUAGCUAUUCAUAUCUCUAUACAAAUUAAUAGCUGAUUAUUUAAAGUCUUAACGCUCAGCAUAAUAUUUCAAUAUCUAAGAUUUUACCGUGUUCAUAAAAAUGUCAUAUUUUGUAGAAAUCACACUCAUCGUCUUCGUUAAAGAAAUUCAUUCAUCUUUGAACAGAUGAAUGAUCAAAGUGAAAAUAAUAAAGUGACUGAGUAAAUAAAGAAAACUACAAACAAUUAUGUGGACUACACAUGUCUUCUAAGUACUCAUUGAAAAAUGUAAUAGAGUCUCUUAAAAGGUUUUAAUAAAUCUUACUAGAUUCUGACCCACUUUUGAAAGGGCGGGUAUAUUUUUUGUUUUACAUAUUUUUUUUUUAAAAAAAAAUUAUAUUUCUGUUUUUCAUUGUUAUCAUAUUUGUGUUUUUCUCUGUAAUCAUAUAAUGUAAAAUAUAUAUUUUAAAUUAUUUGUAAGAAGUUUUGAUAAUUCUAUUGAAUUUGUGAUGUUACAUAACUAUACACUUGUGCCAUAGUAUUUUUCACACGUUUGUUUUGUACUUCAUUCCUAAAUGGUUAUUAUUAUUUUUUAAGAAAGUGUUACAAUUUUGUUUAGUAAUUAAAUAGAUUAAAUUUUAUGUUCAUUAAAUUUUCAUGAUUUGAUUUUAUAUAUAAUGACAAUAACGUUAUCAUUAUACAUAAUAGUACACAUAAUAACUUUUCAUGUAAUUAAAAAUGGGUUUUGUAAAUUUUGAUCCAAUCUAUCCUAUACUAAAAGGAACAUAUAAAGCUCUCACAUUGCUCCUCAGAUUAAUUAUAAUCAACCAAUCAGAAUUCAUUAUUUUUGCCAUGUCACACUCUAAUUGGGCUGAUUUUGUUGCUGAUCCGUAAACCCACAACAUUGUUAGGCUAUAUUAGUUAUUAAUGCACAUGUUUUGUUAUUAAUUAGUAUAUAUGAUAUUUUGGUCCAGUAGCCCAAUACACCAGAAUCCUUAAAACGCAGAUCUUGAUCAUUUCUUCGACAUCCUCUCUUCAUCGUUUCAUCUUUUUUUUUUUGAAAGAUUCAUCGUUUCAUCUUCCUCAACGGUUGGUCGAUCAAUCAGCACACUACUCCAUAAUUGAUCAAUGAAUCCUCCAGAAAUCCCACUUAUGUCUUCCUUUCACCUUCCUUCCUCUCAAUUUCUAUAACAUUCCUCCCAAUGGAUGGUAAUCCACCAAAAAGUCUUCCGUAGCCAUUGGCAAUGCCGAAUUUCUAGAUCGAACGAACACACAUGCCUUUCAUAUGUUCAUGUCUGCCUUUCUUCAGGUUCCAACUCCCUUUUUCACAAUAUAUAAACAUAUCCUCUGAUUCUAUGCUCCACCAUCAUACACGACAAAUACAUCACGGCGAGAGAGGCAUGCUUACAGUGAUGUAUCUGCAGGCUUGGUAGAAGCGGAGCUGCGUUACCAGUGAAUCCAGUUCGGUCAAACAACAGUCUCUGAAGCGGGUCGAAUCAUGAAAUCCUAGGAAGAUAGCUACAAGGUUACUUGAUCCUUUUCUUGCUCACUUGAAGACAACACAAGAUUAAGUUGCUAAAGGUGGCUACUCAAUUGUUCUCAAGCCUGAGGAUAGUGACGGUGCGACUUGGUUCACUAUUAGUAAGUAAACAUUUGUAAAACACCGUCACUAAUUUCUCACUUAAUCUUUGCUUGGCAGGUUUUGACAACGGUUACAUUCACUGAGAUCCUCCCGUCGACAAAAGCCAUCGUCUCUUUCAAAGUCCCUGACAACAGUUCUGGCAAGGUUUAAAAAAUAAUAGUAAUAACCCUUUUGUGUAUGCAUUUCAGUGGUUUUGAGAUUGAUACCAUCAACUUAUGAAAUCUGUUAACAACUUGAGGUCCAGUACUUCCAUGACCAUGCAGCAGUCUCCGUACCGCAGCUUUGAAGCAGAACCCAUUGAUCGAUGUAACAGCCACUCUAGAUACACCAGUCAUUUGGUGCUGACGCUGGAUAUGACACAUCCUCCAAAACUUUCACCAAGUACAAUGCUAGAAACGUUACAAAGUACACUGAAUCAUUAUUCUCCACUCCUCACGCAAUCCAUCAUUGAAUGCAUAUACCAUUACUUCAUUUCUCUGAAUCCUGGAGAUUACCUCAACUAUAAAAAGGAACCAAAACAGAAUAACCUUCGUCAAAAUACUUUGGCACUGUAUUGUCUACAUGAGAUAACAAUGUAGAGCAAGUAACACAGGCUCUUAUGAAUCCCCUGAAGCUGCGGAAACAUGAUCAGAGGUGUGAUUCCUUGCUUUGUUUUUUUUUCUUCGGUUUCUUCAAUUUAGUGUCCACGCAACUCUUUGUUCUAUGGUUAAUUUCUAUACACAUUGCCACCAUUGAUUCCAGAUUAUAAUAAUUCAUUGUGUUUUGGAGUUCCUGCUGUAGAUAUAUGUCUAAGCCAUUCCUCAUGUUUUGAUGUUUGAUAUAUUGUUAUAACUGAAAGUCAACUGGUACAAAUAUUAUUCUUGGUAUUAUAUAUUGAUUCAAUAUUUUUGAUCCAGUCACUAGAAAGACAAAAGUGAAACUGUGAAGAAAGGUAAUAGUACUCUUUGACCAAUAUAAGAAUUCCUUUCUUGGUUCGAUGAGUGUGCUAAUCUCACAUGGAUCCUCGACAAUCUUUUACCAAAAAUCCAAACUAAAAGUUGGUUGUUAUAAUACAAGUUUUGUUGUACUUAAGGGAAAUGUUAUGUUAACGAAAUAGAAAAAGAAACUACAAGUCUUACAAACUUAUUACUAACCAAGUAUUUUACUAUUAUAGUUUCAAAAAGAAAAGUAUUUUACUAUUUUCAAUCAAAUGACAUUUUCUAAAAAAUAUGAUAUUAUGAGUACUAAUCACUGAACAUUUAAACCUAUACCGUUUCUAAGUUAGUUAAAAUACAUUUGAUCCCCCUUCUAAAUCAACACAUAUAUUACUAAAAUAUUAAUUUCAUAUAUUUAGUUAUUUACAAUAUAUAAAGUAUCAAUAAUAUUUUGGAUGCAAAAAUUUGAUCAAAUAAAUAUAAGGGGACAUAUUUUCAACCCAUAUAUAAAAAAAGCUCAACACGUUAAAUAAUAAUAAUGUAAUCAGUGAAUAGUUAAUCAAAAAUUUAAGACGAAACAUUUAUAAUUUUCUUAUUUUAAGAGUGUGAACAAUGGUAAAGUAAAAAUAUUUCUUUGUAUGCUUGAGUAUAUGAUAUAUAUUAUAUUUGUUUAGUAAUUUUCACGACACUAUUAAAAAGAAUCCAUUUCAUCAGAAAUAAUAUAGAUUAUUCAAAAUUUCAAUCAAAAAUGAAAAAAAACUAAAAUUUGAUAUUAUAUCAUAUAUGAUAUCAAAAGAAGUAGCAA